rnacentral:lncRNA from 1 species
AGCUAUCACAAGCUUAAACAAUAAUGACCAGGUUUUAAACAACGGCGUACUAUCACAGUUGAUCAACCCAUGUGAUAAUACCGGGCAUGUUUCGUGGAAACAUGCCUCAAAAUAGGUACCAAUACAAGGCAACACAUUGGCCUUUGGCAGAAAAGUAUUAUAAUAUUUCAAUAAUACCCAAAUAGCCCUCCGCUGGACCGCCGUCUCGGUCUCUUACGCAAAAACAAAGAAAUCUUCCGAUUUCUUCCAGAAG